UCUCUCUCUCUCUCUCUCUCUCUCUCUCUCUCUCUCUCUCUCAGGGACAUCAGGUUUCAGUCAUGAAGUUUGUGGUGGACCAUGUGAGCAAGGAUUGAGGACAGCUAGGUAGGCUGGGUGGUCUCUGAUAGCAUCAACACCACUCCAUUCUCUCUUAUUACCACUAAGGGAGGCAGUGCACCACAUCUCACAGGACGUGCUGCACCGGUGGUGUGGCAUUGAGGGAAGCGCCUCUUUGUAUCCCUGCCCAGCACUUUAUUGAACACAUGAAGGUGAUCCAGAGUUUCAAGAAGGAAGUGGCACACACAUUUUGCUGUACUCCAAGCUUUUGGAGGUCCAGCAGCACACCACACACUGCUUUCAUAGACAUGUGCAGAGUGCAAGACAGAGAGUGGCAAGGAUGGAGGAUGCCUCAACAUUCACAGCAUCAUUGCUUCAUGCUUUCUUUUGUGGAAAGUAGUGCACACAAUUUUAACCGAAGGAUUAUGUCAUUAUUCAUAUUAAUAGAUUUCAUGACCUAACAUUGUGUUGACCUUAUAAGAGACUUAUAAGAGAUCUUGCAUUAUGAAGACUUAUUUAGAGGUCUUUGUUUAUUAGCAUGAUCUAGUUGUGUCAGUCUUAAAACUCCAGAUUGUACAGAUAUGAACCAUUGUCCAUUGCACUUCCUGUAGAUGGAAUUUCAGUCAAUGCUGCAAAGUGUGUGUGUGUGUGUGUGUGUGUGU